rnacentral:rRNA from 1 species
GGNUGAGUAACACGUAUGUAACCUGCCCUCUGCAGGGGGAUAAGCGGAAGAAAUUCCGUCUAAUACCGCAUAAUACAAUUUGGAGACAUCUCCGGGUUGUCAAAGGAGUGAUCCGGCAGAGGAUGGACAUGCGGCGCAUUAGCUAGUCGGCGGGGUAACGGCCCACCGAGGCUACGAUGCGUAGGGGUUCUGAGAGGAAGGUCCCCCACACUGGUACUGAGACACGGACCAGACUCCUACGGGAGGCAGCAGUGAGGAAUAUUGGUCAAUGGGCGGAAGCCUGAACCAGCCAAGUCGCGUGAGGGAAGACGGUCCUAUGGAUUGUAAACCUCUUUUGCAGGGGAGCAAGGCGCGGUACGUGUACCGCGAAGGAGAGUACCCUGAGAAAAAGCAUCGGCUAACUCCGUGCCAGCAGCCGCGGUAAUACGGAGGAUGCGAGCGUUAUCCGGAUUUAUUGGGUUUAAAGGGUGCGCAGGCGGACUGUUAAGUCAGCGGUAAAAUGUCGGUGCUCAACACCGGCCGGCCGUUGAAACUGGCAGCCUUGAGUGAGCGAGAAGUAUGCGGAAUGCGUGGUGUAGCGGUGAAAUGCAUAGAUAUCACGCAGAACUCCGAUUGCGAAGGCAGCAUACCGGCGCUCAACUGACGCUCAGGCACGAAAGCGUGGGUAUCGAACAGGCUUAGAUACCCUGGUAGUCCACGCAGUAAACGAU